AAUUAAGGAGUUUAAUAUUAAGAGACAUCAUGAAAUAAAACAUCAAUUUGAAAAAUCUUAGUUUACACAACACUGUCAAAGAUAAAGAUAGUAAGUCAAGUAAAAUGGUGUGUAAAUGAAAGUAAUCAGGAAAAUGUAUUAUUUAAAGUGGUAUAUUUCAUUAUUUGUUUUAUUACAGAGUCUGUGGUCCGUGACUUCAAAUAUAUUUCUCCUUCUGGCCCCCAACAAAAAAAGUUUGGACACCCCUG